rnacentral:lncRNA from 1 species
UUAAAUGUAUAUUCUCAUACUCUCGAAAGUCAUAAAUGCACUUGAAUAUCAAUCAUCAUUUCGAAACAUAAUCACACACACAAAAGAUCACAAAUACACUCGAAUAGUGUUUAUAAUCUCGAAACAUAAUCGCACAAAAAAAAAUCACAGAUAUACUCGAACGGUCAUUUCUAUGGUUUCAUCACACAGUGUCGUUUAUGUCAUCAUCGAGGAAAGACGAAAUGGAUCCUCCCAUCGCAUGGAUAGCACACACACAAAUCACACAAUAG